rnacentral:rRNA from 6 species
UUUCAACAACGGAUCUCUUGGUUCUGGCAUCGAUGAAGAACGCAGCGAAAUGCGAUAAGUAAUGUGAAUUGCAGAAUUCAGUGAAUCAUCGAAUCUUUGAACGCACAUUGCGCCCUCUGGUAUUCCGGAGGGCAUGCCUGU